UCCCGGAAGAGGCUCCCAGCAAAGCACUAACCUUCCAAAACUCACGUGGCGUUUGCAGUCUGGGAGGGACAGUCACAGAAAGAAAGAAAAAGUUCCUGUUGUCGGAAGUCUCAGGUUUGUUUUGCCUCCGCGCUUUGCAGAUUUUGGCGCAGUUGCUGCCUGGUCGGAUGCUGCAAACCAGAGAUACUAGUAUUGGUUAAUAGCAAAAUACCCUGAAACUGCUCUGCUAGCCGACCAGGCUUGUUUCCAACAUUGGGCGAAAAUGACUUCUGGCAGAACUGGCUUGCGUCUGGCUGCUUGUUUGCUAAACAUUUCAGAAGGAAGAAGAAAGGACAUUGUUGAGAAAGUAGCAAGAGCUGCGGUUUGUGAGGAUAAUGGCCAGGAGCAUCUCCCAGCAACUGUGCUUAAUAUAUUUUCUGACUAUGACUAUAACAGGUCCGUCAUAACUAUUGCAGCUCCAGUUGACAGACUGGGCAGGUCUGUCGUUGCUGCCUGUGUGGAGGCUUUUGCUUCAAUAGAUAUGGCGGAACAUUCUGGAAUCCACCCUUGCCUUGGUGCAGUAGACCUGGUGCCCAUUUACCCGUUGUCAGGUGUCGAUGUGGAAGAGUGCGGAACAGUGGCUCGAAAUAUAGCAGAGACCCUGGUCUGCCGUGUUCCCGGAUGCAGCAUAUUUCUUUUUGGGCAAGCUCAUCUCCCAGAGAAGCAAAGUCUGGUUCAAAGAAGAAAACAACUGGGAUGGUUUAACCGCAGAGCUUUCAAUGCAGCCACUGUUAUUCCUGAUGUAGGACUGUCGCCUACCUUAAGACACGGUUUAACAGGUAUGAAAUGAUGGCAAUGUUCAUUGUUGCUGUUUUUGUCAUGGGUAAAGGCAAUCAAUGUCUCUAGGACUUCACAGAGGAAUAUAGCCCACUCCCCAGUGGUCUGUGCCCCAAGGAGCUUACAUAUAAAUAUUGAGAAUGGGAGAGAAUGCAGAUAAGAGACAGGUGAGUAUACAAAAAACUGAGAGAGGGAAGAUAGGAAGACUAAUAAGGGAUUAAAGUUGCAUAGGCUUGCUGCCCAGUCUUUGCUUACUUGGAACGUCACAGAGUUCAUUAGAACUUAUUCCCAAGCCAAUUGCACUUGCGUGACUGAAGUCUUAGGCUUUUGAGAUGGGUCUGGGGAAUAAAGUGCCAUUCAAAAGGACUGGGGAGAGGACAACUUGUGGGGGUGUUGAGGAAGAGAGAGCACCAAGAAGCAACAGGAAAUGCAUAGAGUUAUUUAAGAGCAGAAGACCUCGAGGCACCUGGCAGUUUUUUGCUCUUAAUUUGAUGUAGGCUGUGAUAAUAAAUAAUAAUAAUAAAAUUUUAUUUAUAUCCCGCCCUCCCCAGCCGAAGCCGGGCUCAGAGCGGCUAACAACAGUAAAAUAAUACAGCAUUCUAAAAUCAAUUUAUUAUAAAAUCAGUUCAGAUCAAAUUAAUGGCAACCAUUAAUGGUCACAAAUCAAUUAAUCUAUUCCAGCGUAAGCAAUAUUUUGUGUUGUAUCCCUUCAGGUAACUCCAGAACCUUCUUGA